rnacentral:lncRNA from 1 species
UUGGCAAUAGGAGAACAGGCCCAGAGGCAGACAUGGGCCUGAAGCCUCAUCCCUGGGCACUGCUGGGAGCACUUCCCGUGCCAGCACAUCCUGCUUUCAUCCCCACCAGCCCCAAGAAAGGGCUGCUCUGGUGGCCCUGGUCACAGCCACACCUCACCUUGGGUGGGAUGCAGCCCUGCCAGCCAGGCCCAGCCUAUGGCAGCCACCCCAGGCACAUCUGAAGCUGCUGUAACAGUAGGACCUAUAGCUGCUGCCAAAGCCCCUCCAUCCCCCAAGGACAGGAGCCCUCAGCUCCCCUCCUACCCAGCAGUACCCACAGAGACAGGAUACCUACAACAUAAAGAGUGCUCUACACCAGAAAACAGGUGCUGCAUCAUGGCUGAGCUAUGGGCUUUAAUUGCCCUGAGCAGCCUUACCUGGGACCCCCAGCUCUAUACAAGAUCUAGCUCUUCCUUUCUUCCCUUUUCAAUCUGAGUUGAUUCCUGUGAGCUGGUCAGUAGGGUCUAAGCUGCCCUGCAGGGUGUUCCCACCAAUGUUGCCCCGUCCUGGGCACUACACCAUAGUGCUGAGCUCUGUAACAGUGCUGACAGCCCCUGGCAUCAUAAUAGCGUCAGGGCCUGCUGACAGCAUGCAGAGGAAGGAGCAGGAGAUAAGGCCUCCUGCUGUGCCUGGGCAGCAAUUUGUGAACAAGGAGAGCAGAAAGCAGCACUGCGGGCAGGUACAGUUGCCAGCAGCAGUGCCAGCUCUUCCCCCAUGAAUACCAAUGCAUCAGCCCAGCACGGGGCGUUUCAGCUCAGCAGCGCUGUGUGUGUCCCCAGGCGGUGGCAGCUGGUACCAAAGGUGGUGGCCCCAGGCUGGCAGCGGGAAAAGCCUAUUCUAACUUUGGAAGCAAAGACUGGUGCCUGUAUCUCAAACGCUUCAGCAGACGUUAACCCAGCUCUCCCAGUGUGGAGCAGGAAGCGGGGAGCCUGCGUUCUCAGCCAGAGCGGGCUCAGGUUUGGGCAGCCUGGGCAGCGAGGCCUGACCACCAUGGAAAAACAUUGGGCUUCUAAACACACAGAGUCUGGGCAAUGUUAUUUGUUUGAAAAGAGAAUAAAUAAAAAAAAAUAAUUCCAUCCAUUCCUCUGGCAAAGACAGCUGGGCAUUUGGAGUGGCGGUGUUUGAAAUGCAAAAUGUACCUCAUUGGAGAGUUGUUUCAUGCCAUUCAUCUUCAGAGCGCGCUCUCGCUGCUUGUUUGCGGUGUGCGGCUAUAAACCAUGCUUUGUGCAAGCGCUCCGGCUGGCUCGGAGGUAAGGAAGAGCAAAGGAUGCUAAUAUCAGACGUUUCAAUCCCCACUGCAACCUACAUUGCUCAAAGCAAGAUGACUUGCAAACAUCUAACACAAAUGAGGAAGAUGAAUCGUAUUCAAGGUCAGGCUCUAUGCCAGGAAACCGAUAGAGGCAAAAGCGGUUAAUUGCUUUAGAUUCCAACAGCCCCCAAACGUGCCCUGCGUACAGACAUCCCUGCCUUGCGCUGCCGUGGACCUCGCCACCCAAACCGGCAAAUAAAAUAGGAAAUGGAGGUGCUCGUCGUGAGUUU